AAAAAAUGAUAAAAAUAAAAAUUGUAUCAUAUAUACGUAUAUAAAUAAAUAAUUAUCAAAUAGCAAAUAUUUAUGUAUAUAUUUGUACGAUUACUCAUUUACUUUUUAAUUAGGUACAUUGAAGAGACAAAUUUCUGCUUAGGAAGAGUCACGGUAUUUAUUAAAAAAUAAAUGGAAUAAAAAAACUAUGUUAAUAUUAUGUACGACCAGUGUGUAUAUAUAUAUAUAUGUACCCUUUUUAUCUGAAUUUCUAAUCGAUGAAUGCAUGUUUUUUUUUUUUUGUCUUUUCCUUAUACAUAUGCAUAAAUAUAAACAUAUGUCCAAAUGUUUACAUGUAUAUUUACGUAGAAAUUACGAUUUUCUGAAAAAGAUGACAUGGCUAGGAGAGUUUUAAAAAUAAUGGAUAGUCAACUGAGUAAAAUGUAUACAAGAAUGAGAGAUGGUACUGUUAUACCAUUUAUGUCCUUUUAUUUGAAUGAUGUUAUAGAUAAACCUGCACCCAAUCAUCAGUUUAUUGAACAACCAUUAAUUAAGUGGACAUGGGAUGAAGCAUAUGAUGAAGCUUACGAAGAAAAAUAACGAAAAAAAAAAAAAAAAAAAAAAAAAAAAAAAAAAAAAAAAAAAAAAAAAAAAAAAAAAAAAGAACAUGUGUUGUAUGGACAUACAGGUUACAGACUACAGGUUACAGACUACAGGUUACAGACUACAGNNNNNNNNNNUACAGGUUACAGACUACAGGUUACAGACUACAGGUUACAGACUACAGGCUACAGACUACAGGCUACAAACUAUAAGCUACAGAUACAAACACACGCAGUUGUACUAUAUUUUUUUUUGUGCAUUACCCUUAUUCGUCUGUGUAAAUUCGCAAAUACGAAAUUUAUUCAAUGUAAAAAUAUAAAAGUUCAAAAUUUUGUAAAAAGCAUAAAAACACUUGAGUUCGUAUACAUUCAUAUAUUUAUACAAAUUAAUGAAAUGGAAAAAAUAUAAUGUUCUAUACAUAUAAAUAGCUUCGUUUAAUGUUAAAAUGGGUAUUAUUAUAGGUUGCUUAUUUUUUUGUUGUUGUUCUUUUUCUUUUAUUUCUUCUCCUUUAAUGUUUCUGUUGUGAUAAAUAUCAGAUAGUUCAUUAAAUUUGGCUUCAAUUAAUUUAUAAUCAUUAUUAUCCAAAGAAUUUAAAAAUUUGUUAAACUGUACAAUCAUUAAGUGUAUUGAUAAUUUGACAUGCCUAACGUAGUUAUUUAUCGGAUUUAUAUGUAAAAAUAUGUGUAUUAUAUUUGAAUAAAAUAAAAAAGAUAAAUAUUUAGUGCUUAAAU
rnacentral:lncRNA from 1 species